rnacentral:lncRNA from 1 species
AUUUUUUCCGGGGCCAUUCUUACCGUACACCUAAUUUGGUAGGUGCACCUGUUGUGAGUUCCAGUGAUCGGCACUUGGAGUGAGAGGCUGUCACCUGAAGAUGUGUGUGUGUGUGUCUUGCCAGGUUUAGUUCAGUUUCGUCAAUUCAAUUGUGCCAACAUUAGCACAUGAUCUGCGGUUCAAGAUGCAUCUAAUCACUUUGUAUAGUGAUGUUUGAAGUCUGUUCUUAAUAGAUUUGUUAACACAGGGGUACGAUAUAGAGCUCCCAUAAUCGAAAUGACACCGAGUAAGAGAAAUAGCUUAAGAGCAUAAGGGAUAGUCUCAAGUGAGUUGAAGAACAAUCGUGGUUUAUCUGGUCUGUAACAUACACCAAUUAAUAUAGGCUUUGUUCUGGGAUUGUCAGUGCACAAAGAUUAAGAAGAUCAUUAUGAAGAUCAUCUCUCCUGAUGUAGUUUUCUAUGCCAAAUUUC